rnacentral:rRNA from 1 species
GACGAACGCUGGCGGCGUGCCUAAUACAUGCAAGUAGAACGCUGACUACUUUAGCUUGCUAGAGUAGAAGGAGUUGCGAACGGGUGAGUAACGCGUAGGUAACCUGCCUACUAGCGGGGGAUAACUAUUGGAAACGAUAGCUAAUACCGCAUAACAGUGUUUAACACAUGUUAGAUGCUUGAAAGAUGCAAUUGCAUCACUAGUAGAUGGACCUGCGUUGUAUUAGCUAGUUGGUGGGGUAACGGCCCACCAAGGCGACGAUACAUAGCCGACCUGAGAGGGUGAUCGGCCACACUGGGACUGAGACACGGCCCAGACUCCUACGGGAGGCAGCAGUAGGGAAUCUUCGGCAAUGGGGGCAACCCUGACCGAGCAACGCCGCGUGAGUGAAGAAGGUUUUCGGAUCGUAAAGCUCUGUUGUGAGAGAAGAACGUGUGUGAGAGUGGAAAGUUCACACAGUGACGGUAACUUACCAGAAGGGGACGGCCAACUACGUGCCAGCCGCCGCGGUAA